CGCUGGCGAAAGCACCGGGUCUCGGGACUUCUGAGUGGCCUGGGUUACCGCGCGAUCUACACUGAGACAAGGAAGCUGGAAAAGCCGAGUAGUUAUACUAGAAGAUCAGGGUCUCACAGACUCGCAACUUCUCUUCCAUUUUCCCCAAUGGCGCAUGUCUUACAAAAACCCAAGCACUCUGGGACUCACUCCAUAGUCCAGGAGUUCCAGGUUCCGGAUUAUGUUCCAUGGCAGCAGUCCAAGCAGGAAACCAAGCCAUCUACUCUGCCUCCAGUCCAACAAGCCAACAGCCUUUAUACAAGCAAAAUGAAGACUUUGACUAGGGUCCAACCAGUGUUUCACUCCAAGCCCACUACGGUGGUGACAAGCUGCCAGCCGAAGAAUCCAAGAGAACUACAUAGAAGGCAGAAGUUGGACCCUGGGAAGAUGCAUGCCAAAAUCUGGUUAAUGAAGACGUUGCUCAGGAACGGGAGGGCGGCUCUGCGAGAGCUCCAAAGCCGUGAGAACUUCCUCACCAAGCUCAGCGAGGAGCUGAUCGAGACCAUCCGGGACGUGGAGAACAGCACGACCGUGAACGUGCGGGCCCUGCUGCAGCAGCGGGACAUCCUGGCGACCGUCAUCGACAUCUUGGAGUACUCAAACGAGAAGAGGCUGCAGCAAUUGAAAUCUGAGCUUCAGGAGUGGGAAGAAAAGAAGAAAUGCAAGAUGAGCUAUCUUGAGCAACAGGCAGAGCAGCUGAAUGCCAAGAUUGAGAAGACCCAGGAGGAAGUGAACUUCCUGAGCACUUACAUGGACCAUGAGUAUUCCAUCAAGUCUGUCCAGAUCUCCACUCUUAUGCGCCAGCUGCAGCAGGUUAAGGACAGCCAGCAGGAUGAGCUGGAUGACCUCAGUGAGAUGCGCAGAAAGGUCCUGGAAUCCUUGUCCGACAAGAUUCAGAAGAAGAAGAAAAAAAUUCUGAGUUCUGUGGUGGCGGCCCACUGCAGCCCCGUCGGUCUCUACCAUGUUCUGCUGCCCAGGAAGAGGCACCUGGGGGCCAGGCCUCUUCUCCCUCCACAGGAAACCCAGCGUCCCUGUGAAGAGGCUCUCCUACAGAAGAUGUGGGAAAGCCAGGACUUCCUGAAAUGCAUGCAAAGGUUCAGAGAAUUUAUUGACCAGUUUGAGGAGAACAUGCCCGUAUUAAGGGCCGAGGUGGAAGAGCUCCAAGCCCAGACCCGGGAACCCCGAGAGGUCAUAUUUGAGGAUGUUCUGCUUCGGAGACCCAAUGCCUCUGAAUGCCAGGCACCAUGUGAGUGAAAACAGUCCUUGGUCCCGCCCUCAUGGAACUAAAGAGGGAACUGGACAUGAGUCGAUAAUGAGCCACAAAUAAAUGUGGAGUUGCAGCAGAGCCCAGAGCUGCUGAGCAGAGUACAUGCCACUGCGAAAGUGACUCUUAGGAGCUGGGUGCAGUGGUUCACGCCUGUAAUCCCAGCAAUUUGGGAGGCCAAGGCGGGUGGAUCACGAGGUCAGGAGUUCAAGACCAGCCUGGCCAAGAUGAUGAAACCCUGUCUCUACUAAAAAUACAAAAACUAGCUGGGCAUGGUGGCGGGUGCCUGUAAUCCCAGCUACUCGGGAGGCUGAGGCAGAGAAUUGCUUGAACCUGGAAGGCGGAGGUUGCAGUCAGCCGAGAUUGUGCCACUGCAUUCCAUUCUGGGUGACAAAGCGAGACUCCAUCUAAACAAAAAUUUUUUUUUAAUUAAAAAAAAAGAAAAAAGAAAGCAACUGUUAGGACAGCAAGUCUGGGCAGUCAAGGAAGGUUUUCCUGAGGAUGUGACAUUUGAACUGAGGCUUGAAGGAUGCAUAGAAAUUCACUAGGUGAAAGAGACUGAUGGGGGAGCUGAAGGAAGAGCAAUUCUAGGGGGUGGUGCUAGGGUCUCCGGGGGACGUAAUAAAUAGUCACUUGUUGUCUUUACCUGAGCUCUGAACACAGUGAAUGAGACUGAAAGGGGUAAGGUGCAUGUGGGCCAGGUUAUCACCUUUAUUCUGGUAAAGCUGAUUUUAGAGACUGUGUUGGCCUCUGAAUAGUGAACCCAGAAUUAGGCAAAUUGAACCACCCGAUAUGGUGGAGCUGGAUCCACGUGGAGCCAGGCCUUGGGGCAGAGAAGAGUGGAGUCCUUUCGGGUUUCUUGCUGCUGAGAGAGAAAGGGACUGGGCUCCCUGUGUCCCCUUCCUCUCCUCACACUCACCAUUCUGGUGGUCAUACCCCCUUUCCAAAAGCAGAAUAUAAAGGGGCAGAGAGAGGCCAGGAGCAAUACACUCAUGGAUGCCCUUCCACGUGGAAGGGAACACCAGGAGCAAGGAAGCAGAUUUUCCCUCCUAAAAAGUAGAAAUGGCACACUGUUAAGCAGAGCCUCUCCAACUGGAACAUGCCCAGGAAACACCUGGAGAUCGCGUUAAAAAGCAGAUUCCAAGCCAGUAGGUCUCAGUGGGGCUCAUGAAUCUGCAUUUCUUUUUUCUUUUCUUUUCUUUCCUUCCUUCAUUCCUUCCUUUCUCUUUUCUUUUUCGUUCUUUCUUUUUCUUUCUUUCUCUCUCUCUUUUCUUUCUUUUUCUUCUUUCUUUCUUUCCUCUUUCUUUCUUUCUUUCUUUCUUUCUUUCUCUUUCUUUCUCCCUCCCUCCCUCCCUCCCUCCCUCCCUCCCUCCCUCCCUCCCUCCUUCCUUCCUUCCUUCCUUCCUUCCUUCCUUCCAUCUUUCUUCUUUUCUUGAGACAGAGUCUAGCUCUGUCUCCCAGGCUGGAGUGCACUGGCGCCAUCUCAGCUCACUGCAACCUCCGCCUCCUGGGUUCAAGUGAUUCUCUUGUCUCAGCCUCCCGAGUAGCUGGGAUUACAGGUGCACCCCAGACAUGGAUGUCAUCCUCAACAUUCCUGUGGAAGAGCCACUACCCUUCUAGAUGGCAGUGCCAUGGGCCGCCCUCCCCCCCUGCUCUCUUCCCAGCACCUGGAGCCUUGGAUCAUUUACUUCCAGGACUGGAUCUCCAUUCAGACCCCGAUCUACAGUCUCCCUGCUCCCUCUGCCCUUCCUCCCUCUUUCUUUCCCUCCCUCCCUCCCUUCUUCCCCCCUUCCCUUCCCUUCCCUCCUCCUUCCUUCCUCCUCUCCCUCCCUCCCUCCUUUCUUUUCUUCCUGCGGUUUUUUCCUCUCUUCUUCCCUUCUUUCUGGUUGGUGCUGCUGGGCCAGGUGGGAAUUUCUGAUUAAAUCUGCUAUUCCCUUUUUACCAAUAAAGCUGGAUUUACAUUUGC